GUCUAUGGCCAUACCACCCUGAACGUGCCCAAUCUCGUCUGAUCUUGGAAGCUAAGCAGGAUUGGGCCUGGUUAGUACUUGGAUGGGAGACCACCUGGGAAUACCAGGUGCUGUAGGCU
ensembl:rRNA 5S_rRNA 5S ribosomal RNA